GAUCGGGACCCGUGCGUGCGACACCCGUGAACCCCGUCAGGCCCGGAAGGGAGCAGCGGUAAGCGGAGUUGUCGUAGUGCCGCGGAUAAUCCUGGUCGGU
rnacentral:SRP_RNA from 1 species